UAGGGAAUCUUCCACGAUGGGCGCAAGCCUGAUGGAGCAACACCGCGUGAGUGAAGAAGGGUUUCGGCUCGUAAAGCUCUGUUGUUAAAGAAGAACACGUAUGAGAGUAACUGUUCAUACGUUGACGGUAUUUAACCAGAAAGUCACGGCUAACUACGUGCUAG
rnacentral:rRNA from 1 species